rnacentral:rRNA from 1 species
AUUGAACGCUGGCGGCAGGCCUAACACAUGCAAGUCGAGCGGAUGAAGGGAGCUUGCUCCUGGAUUCAGCGGCGGACGGGUAAGUAAUGCCUAGGAAUCUGCCUGGUAGUGGGGGAUAACGUCCGGAAACGGGCGCUAAUACCGCAUACGUCCUGAGGGAGAAAGUGGGGGAUCUUCGGACCUCACGCUAUCAGAUGAGCCUAGGUCGGAUUAGCUAGUUGGUGGGGUAAAGGCCUACCAAGGCGACGAUCCGUAACUGGUCUGAGAGGAUGAUCAGUCACACUGGAACUGGGACACGUUCCAGACUCCUACGGGAGGCAGCAGUGGGGAAUAUUGGACAAUGGGCGAAAGCCUGAUCCAGCCAGGCCGCGUGUGUGAAGAAGGUCUUCGGAUUGUAAAGCACUUUAAGUUGGGAGGAAGGGCAGUAAGUUAAUACCUUGCUGUUUUGACGUUACCAACAGAAUAAGCACCGGCUAACUUCGUG